rnacentral:lncRNA from 1 species
CCCCCUUUCCCCACCCCCAAACACGUCUUCGCGCUCUCUUUUUAAAGAGCUAGAAACUUUAAAAACUUGAAACGGCACAGGCGUGCAGCUUGCCAAUGGGCUGCUUCGCCGCUUCCAUCAGCUGGAAACAGAGCCCAAGGAGUGCUGGACCUACAAACUCAAUAUCCUGAUACUGAGAUCGGUAACCCCUCAUCUAUUUCCAAAAUCAGAAGAGAAAUCUGGAGAUACAAGAUAAUUAUUAUAAAGGUUAUUUUCCACCCUUGGUGAAGCAGGCUUAAUGGAAACAUCCAGAAAUUCUUAGGAAAACAAGUUUCUUACUUCCCAAAGAGGACUUAUAAAAGCAUAUUAAUGAAACAAAUGGAGUUAUUUGUGUAACAUGAAGUAUAUAGUUUUCAAGAAAAACGAUAGAGAUGGGUCGUCAUUGCUUUUGAAUAAUUUGGACAAAAGCUAGCCGUCCCUGAGAAAGACUGAGCUGGAGCCUAUGCACCACAGGGGGAAUAUAGAACUCUUGCACUGGCAAAGCCUUUCAAAAAGCUUCCCACAGACUUUGUUUCCACGUUUACUUAACAAAAUGACACCUUGAGGUCUUCUCCAAAUAAAAAGUUUGCUACAAAAGAUUAAAAUACUUAUCUUUUACAAGUUAAAAAACAAAAAGCUCAACCUUUAGUUUUUCUUGUUGUUGUAACGGUUCAGUCUUACAAGGCUUACAGCUUCCAUAUUUUGCUCUAGGGAUCUCUGCUUUUCAGUAGUACUUAGUAAUACGUUUUGUGCAGGCUGAGUCCUCUCCAGCCUGAACUUGAAGAUUGCUUCAUCCAAGUUUCGAUGGGAAAACUUUUCAUCCAUUUUUAUUUAAUAUAAUUCCCGGUAUAGUUAAGUUUGUGCCUACUACCAUACUCUUUUAUUUUCUUUUGACAAAUCUACUUUAUGUCUCUUCUUGUCCUGUAUUGAAUUAAUAAAAUGUUUUAGUUUUACCACUAACCCUCUCCAUUACCUCAAGUGGGUUUUGGAAAUUACAGUAUUCCUCUUUGAUGUAGUAGAAUCUAAUGUAAAUUAUUACUUUGAGCAAUUUCCCAGAAAUGCUAAUACCUUAGAACACUUUGCCUUGUGAACUAAAAAUCUUCAAAGUAGCUACAUCUGUAUUAAAAAACAUGGCCUGAAGAUGUGGCGCAGUGGUAAAGUACUUGCCUAGCAUAGGCAAAGCACCCACCCCACCAAUCACCAAUAACAACAACAACAAAAAUCUCAUAGGCAGCUUAAGCUCACCUGACUAGAACAUCAGGGAUGUGGAGUGAUGGAAUGCAGUAGGUCAGCAGCCAAAAUUGUCUUGGGCUAUCUUCUACCCUUUAUCACGCAGUUACCUAAACUUUUGUAUCUGACCUACAUAUCUGACAAUCAUUAAAAAGAGUAUUCUUUUUUUUUUCAUAUUCUUUUAUUGGUACAUUUUAGGUAUACAAUUUGUUUACAUUUAUCAUUGGGUGUUUGUACCUGUACAUGAUGUAUCUUGGUUCUUAUUUUUUUCCCAUUACCUGUACACCCUUCACCGCUCCACCUUUCCCUAUUUACAUAGACUUUGUUUCCAUUUUUUUCUUUUCUCAUAAUUUUUCCUUUCCCUUCUUUCCUUGCCCCUUCCCCUACCGCUUUGUACAUUUUCUUCCUAUUUCAAACUAUCAACUAUUCAUUUUAAUUGUUUUAAUCCUUAUCUACACUUUCAGUUUCUCACACUAGAAAAAGUAUUCAGUAUUUACACAUGUGUAUCGUAUUUAUUUCACUUAAGAGUAUG